rnacentral:ncRNA from 1 species
UAUGAAGCGAAGAAUGAUCGAAGUAGUCCGUACUUCCCUGUUUAAGAGAGCUAAUGGUGGUGAGAAUUAGUACAAAAGUUAUGGAUGAAUUACAAUCAGGAGCUUUUCUUUGUGAUAAGCAAAGAACGGUCAUGCCGUUAUAAUAAUGAAGUGGGAGAAAAGUUUUAUUUUUCUUCAACAAGGGUGGUAACGCGAGAAUCUCGUCCCUUUU